GACGAACGCUGGCGGCGUGCUUAACACAUGCAAGUCGAACGGAAAGGCCCUGCUUUUGUGUGGUUCUCGAGUGGCGAACGGGUGUGUAACACGUGAGUAACCUGCCCUUGACUUUCUGAUAACUUCAGGAAACUGGGGCUAUUACCGUAUAUGAUCUCCUGCUGCAUGGUGUGGGUUGGUAAGUUUCGGCGUUUGGGGAUGGUCUCGAGGCUUAUCAGCUUGUUUGUUUGGUAGUGGCUUACCAAGGCUUUGACGGGUAGCCGGACUGAGAGGGUGACCGGCCACAAUGGGACUGAGAUACGGCACAGACUCGAACGGGAGGCAGCAGUGGGGAAUAUUGCACAAUGGGCGGAAGCCUGAUGCAGAAACGCCGCGAGCGGGAUGACGGCCUACGGGUUGUAAACAGAUUUCGCAUGUAACGAAGCGUGAGUGACGGUAAUGGGUAAAGAAGCACCGGCUAACUACGUG
rnacentral:rRNA from 1 species